UGAGACAUAGCUCAAUUGGUGGAGCGACAUGACUGUAAAGGGUCUGAAACGUAUGCAGGUUCGAAUCCUGCUGUCUCAAUCA
rnacentral:tRNA from 1 species